UUUUUUUUUUUUUUUUGUGUUUAGCUAUUCGAUCGAAAAUUCUUUUGAAGCAUGGCGAUGAAUUCUAUCAAGAUGGACAGUUUAUUGGGCAUGUUAACUAUGCGAUUACAAGAUGAUAAUUUUGUGAAAUGGUCCUUUCAAUUUUGAUCUAUUCUUGAAGGUUAUGACCUAUUUGAGCAUUUUGAUGGUUCCUUUGUGUGUCCGUCGAAGUUUGUGGUUACUAAGGAGACUGGGAUUACUACUGAGAUUACAAAAGCCGAUAAGGAGUGGAUUAAACAAGAUAGAGCUCUUGUGAGUCUAUUACUUGCUACACUUGGUGAUGAAGCUGUUGAGUAUGUUGUUGGUUGCAAAACUGCUCAUGAAGACUGGACGAAUCUUCAAGACCGGUAUGCUACUGUGUCUAGGGCUCAAAUUAAUCAUUUGAAGACUGAGCUUCACACUAUCAAGAAAUGGGCUAAUAGUGUAGAGAAGUAUAUGCUCAGACUUAAGGCUUUUAAAGAUCAAUUAAUUGCAGCUAGUGAAGUAACAUUUGAGAAUGAUCUAAUUAUAGUUACUUUGGCUGGCUUACCUGCUGAGUUCAACAUGAUUCGAACUAUGAUUGUAGCUUGUGAGACUCCAAUUUCCUUUAAGGAAUUUAGGGCAUAAUUGUUAGCUGCUAAAAGAACUGCUAAAGAUCUCAUUCUACUUUGACUUUUCCAAUGUCCGACAUGUAUUGCCAUGGUGAAUCUUCUAAUGCUGCUCAAAACUCUUAGAGGUCUUCAUAAUAUUUUGAUGAAGGUUAUGGUUAUGUUGGUCAAAGUCGUGCUGAAUCUUCGAGUAAUGGUUCCAGACCAAAUGGUGGGCUAAUUUCUCAAGCUCAAUUGCCUCCAUUUCAUCAAUAGGGAAAUGGUCAUUUUCAAAAUCAAAGGAAUUAUCAAAAUUAUGGCAGCAAUAAUGGAAGAUUUAAUAAUCGACCCAGAUCUAAUAGAGGUAACAAUGGCAGAUUUUCUAGGAAUUCCACCAUGCCUUCUAAUAAUUUUGGUAACAGUGGAGGAAUUGGAAUGGCAACAUUGGUUCUAAGUCUACUCUGAUUCCUAAAUGUCAAAUUUGUAAUAAGCGUGGGCAUACUGCACCAAAUUGCUUCUCUUGGUAUUUUGCAAGUUCUAGCACUGUUCCUUCAAUUCUAGAGUGUCAAAUAUGUGGGAAACGAGGGCAUACUGCUCUUAACUGCUACCACAGGAGCAAUUAUGCUUAUCAGGAUGCUCAACCACCAUAUUGUCUCACUGCUAUUACUGCACAAACAAAACCAAGUUUUGCUUCUUCAUAACCAAAUUGGGUGCUAGACACAGGUCACAUGAUAGUAGAUUUGGAUAACUUGACUCUGGUGGCCCCUUUUGAAGGAAAUGAACGAAUUACAGUGGGUAAUGGUUAAGGACUUCCGGUUGCUUGGGUUCCAUUUUCACUCCUUCGAAACUAUUAACUUUGCAAAUGGUUUUACAUGUUCCUAAAUUCGUUGCUAGUCUAUUAUUUGUUGAUAGACUGUGUAAAGAUAACCAUUGUUAUGUUAUUCUUGAUGAGUUUGGUUUUUGGGUGCAGGACAAGGCAACAAAGAAAAUCAUCGAAAGAGGAAGGAGUAGUAGUAGUGGCUUGUAUUACAUCCCUCAGCAACAUUUUUUCCAGUAUUCUCAGCUUUUGGACACUCCACCACAUGCUUUUUUAGGGAAGCUUGUGAAGUCUUCUAUUUGGCAUCAUCGACUUGUUCUAUAACCACGAGUUCAGCUAUUUCAUCUGUACUUGAUUCCACUUUGCAAAAGUUAUCUCAUACCAUAGUGUCUGUUGUUUUACCAAGGCAUUUGAAUGAGUUUGAGGAACAAUUAUCAAAUAUGGGAGUGCCAUCUUUGUCUUCUCAAAGUUCCAGUGUAUCUGCCAGUUUAGAUAGCAUCUCAGCACAAGUUACUACUCCUACUACUACUCUACUAGCAACUUCUUCUUCCUCUCAAGUGUUGCUUAUCCAUACUCAGACCCCAACUCAAGUAUCUUUUUCUUUUCCUGAGCCAUGAUAGGAGCAUAUUUAUGCAACUUAGUUAGCUUGUCUCUUGGUAUUUACUUAGUUUAAUUCUAGUUAUUUUAGUACUUUAAGCUAUUUUCGUGUGUUUGUAGGUUCAAAUAACAAAGUUACCAACAAAGUGCUAUUUGGAGCCUUUUGGAGCCUUUUUGGGCCAAGAUUGGAUAGUGCAAGCAUGGAGACAUAAGGAUGGAUGUUUUUGAAGAUUUGAAGGCUAAAAAUCAGCAUGUGUGUGUGCAAGUGUGUUGACCUACAACUCCAAACAUCCAUCAAUUACACCCAUUACAUCCACUCAUUACCAAACACUCAUCCACUACACCCAUUACAUCCACUCAUUACCAAACAUCCAUCCACUACACCCAUUACAUCCACUCAUUACCAAACACUCGUCCACUACACCCAUUACAUCUACUCAUUACCAAACAUCCAUCCACUACACCCAUUACAUCCACUCAUUACCAAACACUCACCCACUACACUUAUUACCAAACACUACACAUUACCCACUACACCCAUUACAUCCACUCAUUACCAAACACUACUCAUUACCAAACACUCGUCCACUACACCCAUUACAUCCACUCAUUACCAAACAUCCACCCACUACAACCAUUUCAUUACCAAACAUCCACCCACUACAACGAUUACAUCCACUCAUUACCAAACAUCCACCCACUACAACCAUUACAUCCACUCAUUACCAAACAUUCAUCCACCACACCCAUUACAUCCACUCAUUACCACAACACUUAUCACUACCACCUUAAUUAGACGGUGGUCCUCCCUAGCCUAUAAAUACAUCCACCCUUCACCAUAACAAUGGGGAAGAAAACGAGAGAGAACACAAUCCACCCAUCCACCCUUCACCAUAACUCACCUAUAUCCAUCCACCACCAUAAUUUACCACUCAUCCAUCAAACCACACCUUGUGCCACAAAAAAGAGAAAAAGGAGGACCCUUGGACGUGUUUGCCAUUCAAGUUGGAUUGUUGAAGCGUUUUUAGGUGUUUUCUUUCUUUUGUUUUCAAUGUGUAAAUUUGUUUAUCUUUGCUUUGUAAGUAUGAGGAACUAAACCCCCCCCUUAGCUAGGGGGAAUUCGAAACCAUGUUCAUGCUUGCAAUAUGAUUUGAUUACCUUCAGUUAUGAUUUCAUAAGUUGUGAAUUCAAUUUGUUUAACUGCUUGAUUGAUAACUUAUUCGUGUAUGUUUAUUAAGAGUGCACACUUAGUUUGCAUGCAUGAAUAUGAUGCUAGAGUAUAAGGGAGUUUCACCUAAUAGUUACAAACUUAUAUUCACAAGUAGUGGAGGUCGCUUAUAAACGAUCGCGUUAAAUAAAUUUUUGGCAGGAGUUUCAUGCUCAUCAUAGUAACGAAUGCCUCGUCAAUACUUAUAGUUUUCAUAAUGCUUAAUGAUCUUUGAUUGUAUCUUUAUUGUGCUUUUCACGUAAAAAACUUUUGAAGAAUGCUUGAAUUGUUGUAUGCGCUUUCCUAUCAAAUUCAAUAACUUAAGGAGAACUUGAAGGUUAAUUUAAGCGGACUUAAUUAACCUGGGGUGUUGAGUUUCAUGAUUGAUCGAAAGAACAACUGAAAAUUGGUUUAUGUGCAAAUAUGUCAUGUGUGGAGAAGAACCUCUUAGCUAGCCUUCCAUCCAUUCAAUUUACUCAAAUUCGUGCAGAUUUCAUUAGUUCUUUAAUUUACUUGUUUUGUUUUCAAAUUCGUCAAAACCAAAACCCCCUUUACUUUAAAGUGUUUUGUUAGUCAAAAUCUGUUUUGAUUUGUGUUUUAGGUGUCCCAAAAGUGUGUUAGAGUCCAAGUCUGCCCAGUUUGUGUUUUUAGGCAGAUUGAGCGUUUUUAGCUUGUUUUGAGUCCUUUGAGUUUGUUUUAAAUUCUUUGAGUCUAGUUUAGUGUUUUUAACUUUGUUUAUAUGUUUUUAAGUCAGUUUAGAGGUUUUAGUAAGCCUUCCUAAUCCCCGGUUUAGAACGAUCCCUACUUGCAUUUAUACUACAAUUUGACAACAAAAGGGUUUAAUUUGUGUGUUAAGUUAAAAUUCGCAUCAAGCCAUCUCAUACAUCUACAGAGUUUGAUACUCAAAUUACUCAUUCAAAUCAUGAACAUGAUGUGUCUAACACUGUUGUGCCUAGUAAUGUAGUAGUUGUUUCUUCUGAUCAUAAUAUGGUUACAAGGUUGAAAAGUAGUGCAAUCCAAAGAAGGAACUAUGCAGCUUAUCAUGCAUCUUUAUCUGAUAAUGAGUUUACCCUUCUUUCACAUACUGAUGAUGUAGUCUUUUGUGGUUUUACUUCUGUGUUGGAUACUCAUGAUUCUUCUGAGCCUUCUCAUUAUAAAAAGGCAGUUCUAUCUCAGCACUGGCGCAAUGCUAUGACAGAAGAAUUUAAUGCUCUUCACAAACAAGUUACUUGGGAGUUGGUACCUUAUCCAAAAAAUAAAAAUGUCAUAGGUAGCAAAUGGGUGUAUAAAAUCAAGAAAGAUCAAGAUGGCAAGAUAUUGAGGUACAAGGCUCGACUUGUUGCACAAGGAUAUAGUCAAUAACAAGGCUUGGAUUAUGAAGAAACGUUUAGCCCGGUUGUUCGACAUACUACAGUUAGGCUUGUUUUAUCUCUUGCUACUAUGCAUAAGUGGGACUUAAGGCAAUUAGACGUGAAAUAUGCAUUUUUACAUGGUGAAUUACAAGAAGAGGUGUUUAUGAAACUAACUCAAGGGUUUCAAGAUCCUUUAUAUCCUAACCAUGUUUGCAAACUUCUCAAAUCUUUGUAUGGUUUAAAACAGGCACCACGAGCCUGGAAUGCAAAGUUUACCAGUUAUCUUCCUACUUUGAAGUUUCAGUCUUCUCACUCUGAUCUGAGCUUGUUUGUGAAAUUCUGUGAUGGUGAUGUAGUAAUUCUUCUUUUAUAUGUCGACGACAUUAUUAUUACAGCAAGCAAUUGAUGAUUUGGCCUCUGUAUUUGACAUGAAGGACAUGGGCAAACUCACUUAUUUUCUGGGACUUCAAGUUACCUACAGAGAAAAUGGGGAUAUUUUUCUUAGGCAGUCAAAGUAUGUCAUUGAUCUUCUUAAUAAGGCAGGUAUGGUGCAUUGUAGGCCUUGCUCCACUCCUAGUAAACCUCAUACACAGUUAUUGAAGGAUGAAGGAGAAUCAUUGUCUGAUCCCACAGUUUAUAGAAGUUUGGUUUGUGCAUUGCAAUAUUUGACCUUUACUAGGCUAGAUAUUGCAUAUGCAGUCAAUUAUGCUUGUCAAUUCAUGAAUAACCCAAUAGAAGAUCAUUUCUGUUUGGUGAAGCUGUGCAUACUUAGGUAUUUGAAGGGUACUUUGACCUGUGGCAUUACUUAUUCAGCUACUGGAAAAUUGGAGUUGCUUGCCUAUAGUAAUGCUGACGCAGCUGAUAUCAAUACUAGACGAUCAACAACUAGAUAUGUUGUUUUCCUAGGAUCUAAUCUCAUUUCUUGGCAGUCAAAGAAGCAAGGCAAUGUGUCUAGGAGUUCAACAGAGGCUGAAUAUAAAGCAUUGGUUAAUGCAACAGCUGACAUUGCUUGGAUUCGACUGGUUCUUAAUGAUCUUCAUAUGUUUCUUCCUUGUGCUCCUGUGUUGCAUUGUGAUAUUCUGUCUACAUUAACUUUGUGUUCUAAUCCAGUCUUUCACACUCGGAUUAAACACUUAGACACUGAUUUUCAUUUUCUUCGUGAAAGAGUACAAAAAGGGGAUAUGGAGGUUCAGUACAUUCUUAUAGAUGCUCAGAUUGCAGAUGUCUUAACAAAAGGAUUACACAAUCCUUUGUUUGUUCGUCAUUGUUCCAAUCUCAGACUGGGUUAUCCCAGCUGAGAUUGAGGGGGAGUAUUAACAAAAGACACUUCAACAUUUGAUUAACUUAGUGGUUAAGUUUUAUCUAAAUACUAUGAUUUUAAAGUCUUUAAAUAUAGUCUUUAAAAUCACAGCUGUUAUCCAAAUAUAUAUAGUCUUUAAAAUCAUAGUUGUUAUAUUUAGAAUCAUGUUUAGCCUCCCUCUCGGUUGGAGAUGUUUUUUGUCACAUGGCUAUGUUUGGCCUAUGGUCAUUUGGCCCCUUCGGUUGGAGAUUGUAUGAAAUAUGGUAUGGCACUGUUCAUUAAAAUAUAAUUUCUUAGAGGGCUAUAGUGUUAAAAAGAGUCAUCUGGCCUUCUUUCGGUUGAAGAUGGCCUCAGUCUUUCUACUUGGGCAUUUUCUAUUAUAUGGAAUUAAUUUGAAAAAAAAAAAAACAUAAAUGCAUCCUUCGUGUUUCAAAUUGAAAACAAUUCACAAAAACCAGUUUUUUUCCCCACUAAGCAAGCAGUUUUUUUUUUUUUUUUUUGUUAUUUAUCUUACUUUUAUAGUGUGUGUGUAUAUAUAUAUAUAUAUAUCCAAAUAGAUACAUAAAAGAAAUUUGGGGCUAGUAAAUCAGAGGUCCUAGGCAGUCGCCUUACUCAGCUUCCCUCAAGGCUAGCCCUAUGUCACUAUAAGAGCAUUUCCAACUGUUGCUUAUAAGCAAGGGCAAAGGCAAUGCAAUUGCCCAAAACACCUCCAACAGGACAAUAAAAGAAAUAAAGGCAAGUGGUGGACCAAGCCAUGCUAGCCCAAAUGCCCAUGUAAGUUAAGCAUUGCCUUCCUCAACAGGCAUGGCUGACUCAGCCACGGUCUUUACGUUUUUUCCAAUUUGUAACACAUGUCCAAAAUCAGGGUGUGAGCCAACAAAACCUGCAAUAGUAGGCCUUGUUGCAACACUAAUUGAAGAGCCUAACGGCUCUAUGACGUGGCACGAUGAGAGCCGUUGGAUUUCCAACAACCUGAUGAUCUGGACUAUUGGAUUUUCAAUGGUAAAGAAUUUAAAAAGUUAUCGAUGCACCAUGUUGCACGUUCUAGUGCGUCAGAUUCAACAAUAAAAAAAAUCAAACGGUCAGGAGUAAUUUGAUUGUUAAAAAUGGAAGGAAAAAAAGAAGAAGAUGGCGAUGCAACAAAUACGGAAGAAGAUUCAUACACAAUUUGUCGAGCUGAUUCAACGCAUAUCCAGGUCUGAGCUAUCUCUAUUGAGUAUAUGCAAACAUCUAAGUAAGUCAACAUAGAGAGUUAAAAUCUGGGCAAGAAGCCCUCACAAAAGCAUAAUCUAUUUAUCAAAAUGGCAAUAAUAUAGCCAAUAAGGUAAUAACAUUUUAUUAUUAAUAAAUUUCAAAUGUGAUUAACAUGUUAUUAUUUGGACCAUCAGGUAAUUAAAAGUAAUCAUUGAUUAUGUAAUUUAUAAUGUUGUUUCAUAAUUCUUUGCUUUGCAUUUGAAAUUAAAUUAUUAGAGUUAAACAUGGAGUUUUACUUUCAAAGAACAAACUUACAAAGUGCACACUUAAACACUUACAAGGCAUAUAUAAAUAAAUAAUAUAUAUUUGUGAAUAAUAAUCGCCCUUAUCUGCGACAACUCGUCCUUAAUUUUAAGUUUUAUAAAUUUUAAAAUAGUGAUUUUAUGAAAAUGCCCUUAGAGGCAAGGAUGUUUGACUUUCGUUGACCAUUCGAAGUCACAAUUAAUGUUUCCGAAUAGAUUUUGAAGCUACGAACGCAUAGGCAAAAGCCGUUUGCGAGUUCGGAUUAUAACAGUAUAGUUACGGACAUUUGAAGUCGUUUCAUUAAACAAUAGAUUUAAAGGAAUAUAAACUCCCACCUUGUGGGAAAGAGGCCAUUCAGGCUAAAGGGAAGGAACCAAUCAGUUAAAUGGUGGAGGACCAAUCAGAAUUUAGGGGGGAGUGAGCAACCAAUCAAAGAGAAGGAGGAAAAAAAAGAAAAGAAAUGAAGCUUUCCUUCUCGACGACUUGUGCACCUGCACAGGGCUCAACCAAUUCCGCCAACUUUCGCCAUUUUCCCCAUCAAACCGCCAUCAUCCAACACCUGCAAUCCUUUCCACAACCUCCCCUCUACCAUCUCCACCCAAAUUCGAAGGUUUUUAAGUCCAAAACCGUGUAGAACCUCACCGGAGCACCGGAGGUGCUUGACGGUGAUUCCUCCGAUCCAGUGAGUUUCACCACCCACCACUACCCUUAAUCAACUCCCCUUAGACCCAGGAAUAAGAUCCAACCAGUGAUAGGGGCGUUGGAACACCGGCAAAGUCGAAUCGAUGAACACCUAUUAUAGGGUUUCAGACGGGUUCGUGGCGAUUUGAGGUUUUUUCGGCCAAAUUGGACUUGGCCACAUAUAUAAAACUUGCUCUACUCAUUGAGAUCUUCAUUUAAUUGAAAUUUGAGAAUUUUUAGAAAUAGUUUAUUUUUCCGGCGAGUUGGGACGGUCGACUGUCGUUUGCAGCGGCAUGUGGGCCGAGGCACCCCCUAACCUUCCUAAGCUAAGUUUGAUACCCCAAUUCCAUAUGUGAAGUCAGAUUGAUGAAAUCUCAUCGUUUGAACAUAGUUUUGAUAGAGACCGCUACUUGAUCCUUGUAUGAAUUGACGAACCGACCGUUGGAUCAUCACCAAAAUUUAAUAUAUUAUAGUAUGUAAUAUUUUAGGAUAUUAGAAACUUACGGAUUGGGAAUCCAACUUAUGGAUCUUCCUAAAAUGGAUUUGUAAGUUCGUAAAAUAAAACGUUGACCGCCACUUGAAUUUGCAAUUGGUGGAGAUCCAACCAUUGGAUCGUAAUGAAACUUUAGUAUGAUGUUCUAGAAGCAUAAUGUGGAUCUUUUGAAGUUACGGAUCAAAAAUCUAAGUUGCGGAUCUUCCGGAUUGAGUUACGUAGGAUUAUGGACCCUACCGCCAACCUUUGACCGAUGAUUGAAUUUUGGUCAAUGGGUUUCAAAUCAUUCUAGAACGUCCUUAGGGGAUGUGUUUUAUGUAAGUUACGUGUUCUAUCGAUAAGAAUUCUAAGACGUUAUUUGAUAUUUAUUCUAGGCGACGAUUGUUCGUGAUGCCUCGAUAUUCGUGCUAGGGAGUUGUAGCCCGGACCUCAGGUGAGUGGGUCUUUUUCUUUUUAUAGUGUAUAGAUAGAUAUAUAUAUAUAUACACACACACACACACACACAUAUAUAUAUAUAUGGUUGAUAGUUUCCACAAAUGAUUUUGAAUUGAUUUAUGCAUAUCAUGCUAUGAUUAAAUAUUGUUAUUAAAAACUUUGCAUUGUUAUGAAAUUGUGAAAUGCCAAACGAUCCUACGGGAUGCGCAGGUUUGAUCAGGUGAGUUUAAUUUGUGAUUGGAAUUGUUGCACCAUAUUGGCAUGCAUAAAUUCAUUUAGUGCUCAUCAUUGUUGCACCCCAGUGUUAGUCAUCCUGUCCUGGGCCAGGGCACAGCCUUCACGUGUAUGUUCACCUCCCGCAUCGCACACUUACCUUGGAUCCAAGUAGGUGCUAGCCUAUCGUAUAGACUCGAUUAGGCAGUUUGAUGCGAAAAUUAACUUAACACACAAAUUAAACCCUCUUGUUGUCAAAUUGUAGUAAUAAUGCAAGUAUGGAUCGUUCUAAACCGAGGAUUAUGAGGGCUUGCUAAAACCUCUAAACUAACUCAAAAACAUAAAAACAAAGUUAAAAACAUUUGAAUAGACUUAAAGAACUCAAAACAGGUUCACAAGACUCAAAAUAAUUUAAAGACACUCGAAACUGCCUAAAAACACAAACUAGGCAGUUUCUGACUCUAACACAACUUUGGACGAAAUUUGGGUUUUGACUUGACUCAGAACACUCUAAAACACAAACAAAACAUAUUUUAAACACUUUGAAACAAGAAAGUAAAAGGGGGAUUUAGUUUUGAUGAAUUUGAAACAAAUAAACAAGUUAUAAAACUAGGCAGAUUGUAAAACGAAUUUAAGAAAUAAGAUAAUGGAUGGAUUAGUUAGAGGUCCGUUCUUCACACAUGACACACUUGUAUAUGAAUUGAUUUCCAAUUGCUUUUCAAUAAACUAUGAUGCUCAACACCCCAGAUUAAUUAGAUACGCUUAAAUUAAUCCUCAGAUUUUCCUAAUUUCAUUGAAUUGGAUGAUUGCAUACAACAACCCAAAGCAUUCCCCACAAGUUCCCUACAUGAAUUGCAUAAUAGAGAUACAAGCAAGAAUCAUUAAGUUCUAUGAAAAUCAUAAGCAUUGACGAAACACUUGUAACUAUGAAUUGCAUGAAACUUAUGCCAAGAAUUCAAUUAACGCGAUUGUGAUAAACAACCUUCACUACUCAUGAAUAUAAACUUGUAACGAUUAGGUGAAACUCAUUUAUAUUCUAGCAUCUAAUUCAUGCAUGAAAACUAAGUAUGCAUGAAAACUAAGUAUGCAUCCUUAAAUAACAUACAAGAAUCAGUUAUGAAUAAAAUAGAUAAUUGAAUUGCAAUCACAACUUAUCAAAUCACAAUUGGAAGAAAUCAAUUUAAAUCUCAAGCAUGUUCAUGGCUUCAAACUUCCCCCUAACUAAAUAGUGGUUUAGCCACUCAUAAUUGCAACAAAAUUAGAAAAUAACAAAGUAGACAUUGAAAGCAAGAACGAAGUACACCUAAAACGCUCCAAAGUUCCAAGCUUGAAACGCCAAGGGCCUUUGUUUUCACCACCUUGUUGUAGCAUAAGUGUCUAGGAUGUGUAUGGAUAUAUGGAUAGAAUGGAUUUGCAUGACAUAGAAAAUGGAAAUGUAUGGAGAUGUGUUUGAAUGUAUGGAUGAAAUGGAAUGGAGCUCAAGGCAAGGGACUUGUGUUUGUGAAUGAAGCUCUUUUGAUGGAUCAAGAUUGUCGUUCUUUGGAAGGGGGGUGGUGGAUGUAUUUAUAGGCUAGGGAGAGGACCACUCCAUUUCCUUUGCAUGUGCAGAUUGCAUGGGUGUGUGCUGUCCAUGUUUCUCCUUUCCUUUUCCACCCAUUUUCUGAACCUUUCAGUGUUACAAUGCCCAUAACCUCUUCUAGAAAAAUGAUAUUAACAAUCCGUAAAUUGUUCUAGAAAAUAGACAUCCGUAGCUUUCCAGGCAUAUAAGGCUCAUUCUCUCAUUCAUUAUACGAUGUUCGUAACAUGCUUUCAAAGUCAGCUAAUCUGCACAGGCAGUUUUGACGAAUUUGUUGGCUGUCCAUGUUUCUCCUUUCCUUUGCAUGUGGUUGUGUCUUCUCUUUCUAGCUGUGCAUUUCCACUUGAUCCAAAGCCAAAUGAGUGCAAUCAUAACCCCAUUUGCUGCUGAGUGUUGAUGACAAAGCAAAACACAAAACAAGUGCCUUUACUUUCUCAUUUUAUUAGCCAAAUCCGCUUAGCCCUUUUCUAAACCUUUAAGUGUUACAAUGCCCAUAACUUCUUCUAGAAAAAUGAUAUUAACAAUCCGUAAAUUUCUCCAGAAAAUAGACAUCCGUAGCUUUCCAGCCAUAUAAGGAUCAUUUUCUCAUUCAUUAUGAGAUGUUCGUAACAUGCUUCCAAAGUCAGCUAAUCUGCACAGGCAGUUUUGACGAAUUUGUUGGUUGUCCAUGUUUCUUCUUUCCUUUUGCACACACAUGCUUCAUCAUUUCAGCCAAAUCAACACAUGUUCUCCAUCACAUGGCAGCUAUGAUGUUUGUUAGUUGUAGGUCACACACUUGCACACACAUAUGUUGAAUUCUAAUCUUCCCAAAACGUCCAUCCUCAUGUCUCCAAGUGCAUGCAAUCCAUUUCAGCCCAAAAUUGCUCCAAAAUGCACCAAAAUGCACUUUUCUUGCCAACUUUGUUAUUAGGACCUAACAACAUACGAAAAUGGCUUAAAACACUCUUAUAAGCAAUAACUAACUAAGUAAGUGCAAGAAAACAUGUUAACUAAGUCGCAUAAAUAUGCUCCUAUCACAGUUCCGACUCAUAGAUGACCCACGAUUUAUCGCUAGCCAUCACGUGAUCAUAGGACUAAAGCGUAUAUAUUUACACCCAGCUUGUCGUACAGGUCACACUAGGUGACUCCGACUCGUGUGCUAGCAUAGACUGAUGAGCAAUAGGUCCAUUCAUACAUGUCACAUUAGGUGACUCCAACUGGCACGCUAGUUGAUUAUUCACACCUGACUUACAUUUAUUUUUAUUGAGAUAUUGUGACAUGGCAUGCUUUUGUUGUCACUGCUUUUAUGCAUUGGUUCUUUAUGUUUACGUAGUGUUAUUUUCUGGAAACUAUACAUGUUUUACGGCAAGGGGUUAUAAUGUUUUCAUUGAAACUUUAUUUUUAGGCCCACUCAUCCUUGUUUUUCAUCCCUCCAGGUUUUAGCAGCAGAACUUUGUAUCGACGAGGAUUCUUGGCAAUUCUCAAUAUAGGUGGCUACCUUUGAGGGUAUAAUCAUUAUCCUAUCUUACUGUAUUUCACUUAUGCUCUGACAUCACGUGUGAAAUGGGUUCAUUCUCGCUCAUCGCGCACUCUUGUAUUUAGGCACUUUUAGGUUUAAAUUUAUUCACAUUUUCCAUCACACUACACUUUAUAACUUCGUCACCUUCCAGGUGUCGGCCAGCACAACAUGAUUUGGAGUCCAAGUAGACAUUCCGGAUCGAGGUGUGUCAUUAUCCUUGUUGAUCUAGUGGAGUUACACAAUGACAAUUACUUUCCAAAAGGGCAAUUGCCUUACUCCAACGAGUGUAACUGCUCUAAAGUAUCUCAUUUAGCAUAAAGAAUUAUGAGUAAAUGGGCUUAAACUUUGGUGCUCUCAAGUAGUCCAAAGUCUCAAUUAAAGAGCUUUUCAUAGGGUUUAUAGAGAUUGGCAACCUUCCACAAAUCAACUCCUCUUAAAUCGUAUGUAUUGGUUCCAUAUGAACUUGGUUGGUGUAAGGUUUAAACAAACGUUUUCGAAUGAUUCAUGUCUAUGUAGCCAUUUGCAAUUCACCUCAAUCAUUUAAUCAUUUCAAAUUCCUCUAUUUAAUAUUGCACAAUGCAUUUCUAACUAAAGUAGCCUAAAUUCAUUGGUAUUUGAUAACCUUCAUUCAAAUACAAUAAUAAAUCUAGUAUUGUCUCUAGCAUUGGUUUUAGCCUUCGGGUCUUUCACGUGAGAAGCAGUUAUAUGAGACGGGUUCAUCAUUACAUGAUUUUUUUUUAUCUAAUAAUGUGUUGUUAUGUAAAAGUUUUUCUUUACAUGGCAACAUAUUAUUAUAUUGAGACAUCAUGUCAUGUAACAGUAAACUCAUUUCAUAUAAAUUGCUCAUUUUUUUUACUCCAUUAUCCUUUUUCGCUUGGGCACCAUAAAGAAGUCAUCCAAUGAUCGAUGAUCAUAAAAAUUAAUAAAAAGAUAAUCUUUAGAAUUAAAGUGGAAUUUGAAAUGGAAUCAAAUUUGAAUUGAGAUCCAAACCUUCGUAUUAAACUAGAACAAGUUCACUAAAUAAAGGUGAGGCCAACCACCAACCAAUAUUUAUACAAAAAUAAUCGCAUUCCACUCCGACCCUACCGAAUUCUUCAGGCCAUUAACCACCAUUGAAUAAACAGUACAGAAAAUCAUAAAGUAAUUAUGCUCUUAAACCGAAAAGAAAUCGAGAGUAAUUAAUAAUUAGUGCCAAGAUAUCAUUAAUAUUAUUUUUAAGGAUUCGGACGCGUAUAGUGAUAUAUUCUAUCAUUACGUCUCUCAGAUUCCGCAUCGAUUGGUGCGAGAUAUUCUAUCGUCAAUGUUUCUCGGACACUUUCUUGUUAAACCCAUUUACUACAACUAGGGAUUAAAUUUUUUGCCAAAUUACCAACCAUAUUAUACUAAAGUUCUGUAAAAAAAUUUGUAUCAUUGGUAAUGAUACGAUAUUUGUAUCGUACCAUACAUUUUUGGAAGAUAAUAGUAUUCAAAAUCAUUACCAAUUAUAUACCAUACUGUAACACUACUAUUAAUAUUAUAUAAUUUAUUUAUUCAUUUAUAUAUAUUUACGUAUUAUUAUAAUUAUAUAUGCACUUUAUAUUUUUUUUCCUAGUCAUUUAUCCAAUCAUCUCACAUUCUAACCUCUACUUUCCCAAUAAAAAAACAUAAGCCUUCUUACGCUGCGACUCUUCAUCUUUUCACUCAUCUAGCCACCGACUUCAUCUAUGUUGCUCUAGUUUCGGCGACUGUCUCUCCGGAGUCCACCUCAUCUUCUCCUUUAUCAAAUUGGGAUGUCUUUCUCCCUGGCUUUGUCUAUCAAGUUAAUUUUUGUUUAAUUUUAAAGAAUGUAAAGAUGAAAUUUAAGAAUCUUUGUACUAUUUUUUUAGGGAUAUUGGGUUCUUUGAGCAAUUCUUCCAUCUGUUUACUUCUUUGUUUCUUUAAUGAAUCUUUAUAAAAUUCUCAUAAUUAAAUAAAAAAGUUUUAGAAACCCAAAAGGAGUGACCCAAACACGUUUGGGCCUUGAAUUGGGUUGGAAAAAAAAUCAAAUUUUGGCCCAAAAGAAUGACCCAAAACAAAGUGGUAAUUACCAUUACCAUAUCAUGUCAACCGAACUAUUUGGCAUGCCGAAAUUUGGUAUAUCGAAAGUUUGGCACAGUAAUGAUAAUAGAUUUUAUCAUACCAAAAGUUUGGUACGGUAAUUGAUACAUGGGUUUUGGUACGAUAAUUGUACCAAUACCACCCCUAACUACAACUAUCCAAUCAAAGACUAAUCCCGUUUCAUGAGAGAAUUAUGACUAAUAUCAAUUUCACGAGAAAUUUUUCAAGGUGACAGGAACCCACAUAACCAUGGACACUUUAUGUAUCCAUUUAAUCGGAGGAUGUCACAUGCCUAACCGAAGAAUCUACCUAAUUUAUUUUUAAUGAAAUUACGCUGUCUGUUCUAUUAAUAAAUCCACAAGGUUUAUCUUUUAAAAUGUUAAUUAAAUUAGAACUAAAACAGAAAAAUAAAAAUAAAAAUCUCCAAUCCAAAUAACCCCGUCCCCGGCGAGACACACCACCCCCGAUCCCACCACCACCACCUCUGAUCCCGUUCAAAUCUGGUACCGCCACCACCUCCCUCUCUUGCUCUUCCUCAUAGACGAACAAUAACAGGCACAGUGGCAGACGUCGACGCUAUUCUACCCCUCCCCGAACCCAUGCGGACCAUCUUCCUCAUUGUCAUCUUCAUCAGCAUGAUUUUCAAGUUUUUCUUUGACGUGCUAUCUUUGCUUCUUGUUGGGUUUUUUUGUAAGAUGUAAUCUGAAAAUCAACAAGUUACUAGGAUUACAGAUAUAACAAAUAUAACUACAAUAAAUCAAUCAAACAAUUAAAGGGAAAUAAACUUAUCUUCCAAAGCAGAGGAAGAAGACGCUAUGACUGCUAGGGUUUCAUAGGUUGUCUUCUACUUCCAGUACUUCAAAAUGUCUCUCUACCGUGAAUAGGGUUUGGCAUGAUUGAGAGUACAAGCAUAUGGAAGCAGGAACUUAACUGUGGUAUUUAUAUCAUUAGGGUUUUCAUCACAUCCGACCUAUCAUUGGCUAUGAAGAUCUACCCUAUCUCUCUAGUAUUUAAGUCCCACCAUGAUACGAUACCUUUGUAAUAAAUCUAUCAGAUUUCCUCUAGGUUAAUUGCAAGGGACAAGACUCCAUAAUCCUUAUUAGGUUAGGACUAUCGGAUCACUUUGGUUGCUAACCACUCGAUAGACAAUUGGCUUACAACAAAAAGAUCCAAUACAACAUUCAUUGUCAUUCACAAUCUUAUAUUCUCCCACUUGAAUGUCAAUAAUUCAUCCUAACAAAAUAAGAACUCAUUGUGAUCACUGAGUCUUCAUAAGUAUGCAAUAACCUUUCCUAGCAACCUGUCACUUUGAAUCGAAUGCCGAACCAAAGAAAAACAAAGAACAACUUGGUCUGUUCCUUGCACUCCAAGAUCACAUACACAUUCAACUUAAAGCACUUUGUUGCUAACAAAGUCAUGGUGUCAAGAGCUAAUAGUCAAAACAUUAGCUCACAAUAGUCAAACUGAAAAUAUGAAAAUAUAUUUCAGUACAAAAGUAGUUCACAAAAGAACUCAACAACGUUGGUAACAACAUCCAACUUCUCUGUCAAUUUAGAAUAUGAUAAGAGAACAAGUAAAAUAUGACAUACUAUUUACAAAAUCAGAACCUCUUAUUAAAACUUAUGAACAAAACUUAAACAAAAUUUACUCUUAAAAUAUCAGCCACUAACACUUCAAAAUUUUAACACAAAAGGUAAUCUCUUACUCCCACUGAUUAGUAGAGAUAAACAAAUUAUUACUCCCACUGAUUAAGAGAGUAAAAAAAACUUUAUAAAUGCCUAUAAAAUGAAACUGACACCUUUCAAAUACUCCCAUUAGCAAAACAUUAGUCAUGGGAUCUAAAACAUAAAAUUUGUGAGCUCAACAUCUUUAUUUUAGAUAUUUGUAGGGAAGUGAUUCUCGUGACUGAAAAACUAUACAAAAUUAUUUGGUCAGUUUUGUUCAUCUAACAAUUGACAGAAAUAGAAAACUUUAACUGAAUGUUUUCUAAUGCAUCAAAAGCAUAUAAUUCUAGAAUCAUCUUUGGAUAGAAACUAAUUAUAUUAGGUUUGUAUAGCUAAAACAUAAAAUACAAGGGCAAAUGUAUAUAGCUUCAACACUUUUGAGCAGAUGAAGUAUAUGCAAUCUUGUCAAUUUCAUGUUUCACCAUACAUUGAUUUAUAGUUGUACUGAAAAAGAAAACACUUUUGAGCAGAUUAAUUAUUCAUCAAUAACAUAUAAAUCACAAGUCCAAUUUCUUGAACAACAUACAAGAAUUAAUAAGCAAAACACUUUUGAGCAGAAUAUACUCAUUAACCCUUCUUGAAUUUCCUACAAGAUUAGUUGCAUAUAUAACAAAUAAAAUAUAAAUAAGUAUGAUAAUGUACGUUUUAUCUACCAAAACUAUGACCAUUAAAAGCAUGCAAAAUUGAUGAGUGUGAAGCCCAUAAUACAUUAUUUCUCCCACUUGGGCAAACACUCAAAAUUGCAAGAUUAAACACUAGAGAAAGUGAUUUUCAUUUAACAAAAUAUAUGCAAGUUGAAUCAAUCAAGAUCAAAUACAUAAUUUUUUUUUUUAAAGUAGGUUAGAAUUAAAAAGUUCCAUAAAUAAAAACUUAUGCAAUGACUACAAAUUUUAUUUUAUUUUAGUGUAUGAGAGAAGACUCACAUAUGUGUUAAAGAUUAGGUCAUCAAUUAAAAUGAAACCUAAUAAGAGAAUCUGUUGAUGCACAAAUAUCAGCGAGGACUUUGGUACAACAGAAAGUGUCAGGUUGUGACCUUCGCUUGGUUGCUUCGAUCACUUUUGAAGAUAAGUACGUAAAUGAAUAGGGACAGGGAAGCAAACACAAGAUGUACGUGGUUCACCCAGAUCGGCUACGUCCACGGAGUAGAGGAGUUCUCAUCUACGAUGCAUGGACACGGGGAAAACUCAACGUAUCCCGUAUCUGACACGCAGGGAUACGGAUACGUACAAAAUACGUAUGGAUACGCGCCCGAUACGUAUCGGAACGAAGGUAUACGUUCUUUAUUACCAAGAUACGCGUAUCAUAUUGUCGAGAUACGCGUAUCAUAUUUUUCGGAUACGUUUCAAGCAAAAUCAGAGGAUAAUCAGAAAAAAAAUCCAAUAGAUCCGCACAGAAUCGUGAUUGAUUCGAAUUAGAUAACUUAAACGAUUGUUUAACUAAAAACCAAAACGAUUUCGAACCUCAGAAAUCAGACUCAUCUGCAAUUGCUCCGUCCGUCCGUCGUCUCUAUCGUCUCCGUCUGCAACUGCUCCAUCGUCUCCAUCGUCUCCGUCUGCAACUCCUGGUGAGAGCCUUCGACUUUGUUUUCACUUUGUUAAUUUUGAAGCUCAAUCUGAUUGCAGAACCCCUCUGAAAUUGAAAGAAACAUGCUGCUCUGUUUUUAUUCGAAGCUAAAAGCCCCAUUUCUGCUUUAAGCCAUUGACUAAUUCAAUGUAUCUGUUAUGCAAAAUUGAAAAAGCCAAAACCCAAUUUUGCUUUCUGUAUAAUAUAUUAUUUUGAUCUUCGAAGAUCAAUCAAUGGGGUCAGAUGGUGUGCAAUCAGUAAUCACUUAUCUGUUAUACAAAAUAAUAUUAUAUACAAAAUACUCGUGCCCACUUUUGCUUUCUGUAUAUAAUAUUAUUUUGUAUUUUGUAUAUUAUAAAUAAUAUACUAUUGUGCUUUCAUGAUAUUUAGAUUAUAAUAUUUUAUGGAUUUCAUGAUGUAUUUUUUAAUCUCUUAAGUUAAUAUAAAUUUCUCGUGUAAUAGUCUCUGUCUAUACAGUGGAUUGACUCUUAUUGUUUAUAUAUUUGAUUCUUACAAUUUACAUGUUGAUAAUUUAGGAAAAUGAAUCAUCCUGAUAAUCAUGCGAAUGCUAAUGUCAACCUAGUUGAGAAUGUUGAAAAUGAUCAUGGUACACUAUGGAAGUAUGUCAAAAAGCUCGAAAGAGUGGAAAAUGGAAGAGGAGGUAGUGUGUUUCAAUGCAACUAUUGUCAAAAGAUUUUCAGAGGAUCUUACUCUAGGGUCAAGUUUCAUUUGUUAAAAGUGUCUGGAAAUGGGAUCGUCUCUUGCAAUAAGGUUACUGAUGAAGCUCUUGCAGAAAUGAAAAAGCUAGCUCAAGAAUGAGGGACUCUUUCUUUUUAUUUUUUAAGUCGUUUGGAUGUUCUUUUUAGUUUUUCAAGUUUGAAGACUAAUUUGUUUAGUGGAUUAUCUUUUAAAUGUUUGAAGUUUAUCGAAAUAAAUUUGAACUUGAAUAGUAUAUUUGAAUGCUUAUUUUAUAAUAUUUAGAUAUAUUUAUUUAUUUAUAUUAUUUUUAAUUGCCGUAUCCUUGCCGUAUCGUGUCUUCAUUUUUAGAAAUUUGACGUAUCCCCGUGUCGUGUCGUAUCGUAUCUCCGUAUCCGUGUCCGUGUCCAUGCAUCAUAGGUUCUCAUUAAUUGUGAAGGGUUUACACAAAUACAUAGGUUCAAGCUCUCAUUUUGUGAGUUCUAGUGAAUAGUUUAGUACAAAAUGACAUUAGAGAUUAUUGUGGGAGAAUGAUCCCUAUUUAUAGAAGAGAGUUUCUAGUUUUGUUCUAACAUUGACACGUGUUGUGUUGUGAUUGGCUUCUGAUGUUGACACAUGUCGAGCUGUGAUUGGCUUCUGAUGUCGACACGUGUCGCAUUGUGAUUGGCCUCCUGGUUGAAGGGAAGCUCUUCUGGUCCUUGACGGUAUAACGUUGACCGGUGCUCAGUAGUUUCGGGAUUGGUCAAGUAUGGUACAAACAAAAUCCAAACUCAAAAUUUAUGUUUUAAUUCUAAAACAAAGUCGAGUAAAAUAAACACUUAGAUAUCUCAACAACAACAAUUUUUUUUUUUUAAUAAUUUUAAUCCAAUUUAGAACUCACAGAAAAUUAAGGCAAAAGAUUGGCAAAUUUACCUACUCAUUCUUGAUUCUGCGAGAUUCAUCAUGGAAUUAGUCGAGUUGUGGAGGAUCGAACCAACUCCAAAUUGCAUGAUUGUUACACCUUCGGGCAGAAACUAAUCAUGCAAAGAAAAUACCUGCAUAGCUAGCCAAAACAUAAAAUACACAAAAUACAUAUAGCUUCAACAGCUUUGGCCAGAUGAAAAUAUGUUAGAAGUACUUUAUGAUAUAAUACUAUUUUAUAAUUGGUGAGUGAUUUCCUGAAAUUCCCAUUGGGACAAAAGUAUUCACCAUAUAAAUUAGAAUUCUGAUUUUUCAAAAUAAUCCUUUAGAACAGUAUUAAAUAACCGUUUUGUUGGAUAUUCAAUGAUUCUCAAAAGAUUCAAUCAGACACAAAAGUAUGUCAUUAUUGACAUUGAACAAUAGAGUUCUCGAAAGAGGAAACAUGGUUAUUCAGGUAUUCGAUAGAGACCAAAAUGAUCAAUUAGUAAACUAAUGCCACUUUCCAAUUUUCUCUCAAAAGACAAUCAUCAUAAUCAGAAUUGAUGACCAAACAAAACAUUGGUUUAAGCAAAACAAACCAAUACAUCUUUAAAUCAAAAUUUAAUCAGUGUUGUCUAUAUAAAAUUCAUUAGUAUUGAGAAUUUGCAUAUAAUAAGGACAUAUCGGAACCAUAACCUUGUAUAAUAAUCGGUACCAAUAGAUGUGCACAAAUUAGUGAAACAAUAUCACAUAACAAAACUAGUUUUGAAGUACCAAAAUUCAGCAGUACUACUUUAGUUUGCAAAUUCACUAAAAACUCAAUUCUCUUUAGAUUGUCCUGAAAAUUUUCAAGUAUGAACUAGACAUAUAUGACUACUAUUUCGAAAAAUUUCAUGAUUUUUAAAAUCUUAUAAGUGAGCCAAAAAUGAAUUCGAAAAGAGAGGUGCUACAGCAUUAAUAUGUGUAUUUGAUAUAUCAAAAUCUCCUUUUUAAGAUAAGAAAACAAUUUAAAAAUGACACCAAAAUGGCCACGGCAUUAAUAUGUGUAUUUGAGAAAUUUCCCAAAAGCACUUGAGUCUCAACUUUGCAAUUUUAUGUUUGAAGAUAAAAGUCACAAAGGACAAACGUAGCAAACAUAAAUUGUAAUAUUAUAUAUAUUAUAUUAAACGAAGGAUAAAUUAGACUUAUUAAUCCAACAACUCAUAUUUGAUUUUAGAAAAGAAAGUCUCAACAUUAAUUGGUCCCAACCAUCAGUCAUAGAAGCAUAAGAGAAAAUCAAAAGUUACCAAAUUCUUAUUCCUGAAGAGGGAUGCUUCCAGGCAUAACGAUAGAUGGAAGCGUAAAUCAACUUAAUUAAUAUGUAUGGGAAAGUUAGUUUGCAAAGCAGUUGGACUUUAUAUUCAAAUUAGUUUAACUAAUCAACUAACACACCAAAGUGGCCAUACCAUUAUUCUUGUAAACCAUUACUCAAAAAUAUGCAGCAAACUGGAAUAAAUGAAAUUAAAUGCAAUUGAGGAAAAUCCUCAAAGCCUCAUUCUAGGCAUUAGGAAUGAAGGCCGAGAAAACAUAAAAUGUGAACAUGAUAUAAGAUCACAAUGGCUCACUCAAGUUAUCUCCUAAUGGCAAGUGAUUCACAUUGAAAAAUCUUCGAAAACAACCAAAAUUUUAAACCUGAUCAUUGACACGGUGCGCUAGGAGAAAGAAGCAUGCAAAAUAAUUAUUAACUUAAAAUGGGAUUCCAAAACAAGGAACCCUAACCACUGCCCAGGAGCAACACAAAUGCCAACCAAGCGGAUCAAAACCAAUCUUGAUAUUAAUCAUGUUAAAAAAAAAUAACAAUAGUUAAAUUAUUUAUAUGCAUAUGUGCCAAGCCUUCGAACUUUAAAUCCAAUGCAAAAUUAUAUAUAUAUAUAUAUAUAUUUGAGGUAUAGCCAUAUAUAAAGCAAUCAAAUUUGCUUCUUAAUUAAUCAUUAUCUCGACAUGGCUAAGAAAACUUAUCGUUAAGUUUUCCCAUGAAAGCCAAAACAAAACCUUUUUUUGAUAAUUACAUGAGAAUCAUGAAGUUAGAAAAGUAAUUAUAAAAAUACUCUAAAAUUAAGCGGAAGCCUCAGGAUCGAUAAGUAAAAGACCUUUAACUAAAACACAAACUAAUUGUGCCUUCAGUUUGUCAAAAAUUUGUUCAAACAGAUUACCUUUAAUCCGAACCCUCAAGCUUUGCAAAUUUCUUGGCAGAUUUGUAUCUACAGACAAAAUAAUACAACUACACGCAGAAGUAAUUUCUGCAAAUGGGUCAAAUUAAAAAUAAUAAUAAUAACAUCUAAAUAAUUAUUUGCAAAGCCAAUAUGAUAAUCAAUCCACAUAUUGAAUUAUCAGCAAUUAAAUCAAUGAAUCGUAUUAUUUGCAGAAGCUUUACACAUUGUAAAGGAUAAAAGUGAUGGCAUGAUACGUUACCAUUAUAUUCAAAACCAACCAUGAUCGAAAUUCUGAAUCUUAGACGAGUUGAGUGGCUCUGAUACCACAUGUAAGAUGUAAUAUGAAAAUCAACAAGUUACUAAGAUUACAGAUAUAACAAAUAUACUACAAUAAACCAAUCAAACAAUUAAAGGGAAAUAAACUUAUCUUCCAAAGCAGAGGAAGAAGACGCCAUGACUGCUAGGGUUUCACAGGUUGUCUUCUACUUCCAAUACUUCAAAAUGUCUCUCUACUGUGAAUAGGGUUUGGCGUGAUUGAGAGUACAAGUGUAUGGAAGCAGGGACUUAACCAUGGUAUUUAUAUCAUUAGGGUUUUCAUCACAUCCGACCUAUCAUUGGCUGUACCAAUCUACCCUAUCUCUCUAGUAUUUAAGUCCCACCAUGAUACGAUAUCUUUGUAAUAAAUCUAUCAGAUUUCCUCUAGGUUAAUUGCAAGGGAUAAGACUCCAUAAUCCUUAUUAGGUUAGGACUAUCGGAUCACUUUGGUUGCUAACCACUCGAUAGACUAUUGGCUUACAACAAAAAGAUCCAAUACAACAUUCAUUGUCAUUCACAGUCUUACAUUUUUCUGAUAGGGCAUGAACUUGCAAGGCAGACGAGCACAGGAGUCGACUCAUUGAGUUAAUGGCGGCACGAGUUAGAGAUUGUAGUGGGGAAGACGGAUGAAAUAGAAUUUGGGAGGAGCGGGGAAGACAGAUCGGCCGCCAGGGAGGGGCGCUGUCAUUGUGGGUUGUUGGCUCGACUGUCGAGAUUUCUAUUAUUUAGUUUUAUAUUUUAUUUAAUUGAUUUUCUUAAAAAUUAAAUCAGGUAGACUUUAGUGGGGCACGUGACAUCCUCCGAUUAGAUGGGUAAACAAAGUGUCUAUUGUCACAUACAAGUAUAUGGAUUAUGAUGAUCUCCCAUUCUCUUUCCAUUCCCUUCCAUCAUUCUUUUCAUAUUCUCUAUUUUGUCUUUCUCUUUCUAUAAAAAUAAUAAUAAUAAUAAUAUAAGAUGUUGAUGUGGCUUAACCGUGACCAUUCAAAUAAGAGGGGAGGGUAAAAAAAAGGGAGUAUUUUUGCUCAUCACCAUUUAGUGUGGUAUAUGCUCACCACUUUAUUUAUCACUAUUAGAUGAGUUUGAAUUUCGAAUUGGUGUAGUAGAUAGGUAUAAAUCUCGAAAUUCAAACUUAUCUAAUGGUGAUAAAUAAAGUGGUGAGCAUAAACCACACUAAAUGAUGGUGAGAAAAAAUGCAUUCUAAAAAAAAGAGGGGAGAGAAUCCUUCUCCCAAGUAUAUACCACCAAUGGUGCAAAGGAGAAAGGACAAUGUGAGGAAAGCUAAAAUUUUAAAUUAAAUUUACAAAUUAAAUAAUGUGUAACAAAAAAAAAAAUUAAUGUGCUUGAAACACAAAGUUGUACACCAUGUGUCUCUAACAAGUGGUGAGAUUCUUGUGUUGAAAAAAUAAUAACAUAAAACAUAAAAUUUCCCACCACUUAUAUAAUAACACGUGUACCACUUGCAUUACGGGCAUAAGGAAAAAUUGCUAGUGUCACCAAUAGGUGCACGUUAAUCAAUACUUACAUAAUAAUUUAAUCAUCAACUACAUCGUUUGGUUUAAAAAUUUAGUAUCCUUAACAUUAUCCAAAGAGAAAUGCUAAGAGACUCAAAGGGUGAGAUUCUGCAAUUUCACGGUUUGAUGUUGAUUUGCAUGUCAAUGUAUAAAACAAUGUUGAUCCAAUCACACACAAGUAUAUACCACCAACGGUACAACUAAGGAGAAGUUUCGAACGAUCCCGCUACAUCAGGACCCUUUUAGAGCAUGUUUACGUACACGUAAUGGGAAUCAAAACAUGAAAUUAUAUUCCGAUUACGGACCAUUUCUAUGUUUACUAAAUUUUAAGGAAUCAAAAAUAUAGUGGGACCCACACAAAGUUUGGAAUUCAAUUCCUCACUUUGGAGGAAUUGGAUCCCUUGAUAGUAAGUGGUAUUUGAGUUUCGGAAGAAUGAGGGAAUGGGGAAUCCAUUUUUCAUACCCAUAAUGCCCUCACAUAAUUGCUGAAAUUCCAAUGAUAAAACAAGCACAGGUGCCCAGCGCUAGUCUGUUUCCUUCUCCCUCACUACCGCCCCCUUCCUGUCUUCCCAAGGCCACAUACCCACCAUCAUCUUCUUAGACAACAACGACAGCCAUAAAACAAGAAUAAGCGAAAGCUGAAGAAGAACCCAUUUUAGUUUUUUUUUAUUUUAAACAAUGCUAAAAACCAAACUCCGGACAUUCAAUCAACAUGAAAUACCCCGUAAACUAAACUUCAAAGAAAUUACAUCACCACAACCAACACUUCCCAUAGGCCUCAAACCAACCGUGAAUUUCAAAUUGUUGAAAGAUGAUUGAGGCAGAGAUAGAGAGAACGGUUGGGUUGGGGUUUGGGUUAGUUUUUUAUUUUUAAUUUUAUAUCAAUUGACUUGAUUUCCUGUAAGUUUUUAUAAAAUAUUUAUUUAUAAUAAAAGACAUUCUAGUAAUCAUACAAAUUUUCAUUCCGAUCAAGUGAAUUAGUAAACAACUUACAUUCAAACAAGACCAUUUAUACUCUGAUUCCAGAUUUAAUGGAAAUCUGGAUUUCAAUUCUCCUCAAUUCAAUUCAAUUCCCCCUCAAUCCAAUUCUGUCUAUUUUGAUUAAGGAUUAAUAAACGAACCCUUAAUGUUGAACAAAAGUCAGUACUUUACAUUAAGCUAGAACUAAAAAGGCUACUCCUAGUAGAAGUGACAGAAUUAUUGUUGAGUACGUAGCAAAAUUAUUAAGCAUUUGAGCUAGAACUGUUCGUACAUUUUUUAUCUGGCCUGGUCGAGCAGUGGUACAGCUACAGAGUACUAAUUUAUAUGCCUAACGUUAUAAAACUACAAUAAUAUUUCUCAAUUAUUUUAUAAUUUAAUUUGUUGACACUUCUCAACUGAAUUAUGAAAGCACCGCCGCGAGCCCAGGGACAAGAUACCUCGAGUCCUGACGCAUUCAGGUAUUGUCGCAUAGAUAAUCAUAAGUAAAGUUCCACCAGAGAGAACCAAAUUUGACGAGUUCAGCGGCUUAUACUUUUAUGGGUAUUUGUAGUAUGAUUUUCUUAGAUUUAUUAUUUACAUUAAACGUAUUCGUUUAAAUUUUUUAGAUUAGUGACCGAUUAAAUAUUCAAAUUUCAACUCAAAUCAGAGAUAUAUGAGAACGAACAACUUUUUCUCAAACACCAUUUUUUGUUCUUUGGGAACCAAAAUACAUGGAAAAGUAAAGAUAGGAGCAGCUUCAUCGAUCAAAAUUAUCGAGCACAAACACACACACCAAUACCAUCGAACUACCCGGAAACCAGAACCAGAACAGACCAUGACCCUAAAACACAACCAGAAAACGUUAACACUAACAUCUCAAAGUCCCAAACCACCUAUAACACUAAUCUAACUCCUCCAGCUGCCGCCUUCAGCGCCACCACCUCCUCUGGAGUAGCGAGCACCGCCACCUUCACCGCCUCCAUAGCCACCCUCACGACGACCACCACCACCUCCGUAUCCACCGCCACCACCUCCACGGCUGUACCCACCACCACCGCCUUCACG
rnacentral:lncRNA from 1 species